UGUGUAAUUGUAAACAUAAGAGUUAUACAGGAAAUUCAAAAACAGUUUCUUCUCUAUCUUUAUGUCAGUAUCAGUCAUGGUAUUCUACUCCAAGGUAACAUUUUGAAAUAUUAGAAAGACUUCACAGCAAGUGAGAUUCAACACAUAUUCUGAAAUGAAGAUUAAAGUGUCAAAUUAAGAGACUCUGUAAACUGUUUAGUCUUGCAAGAUCACUUCCUGCAUAGAGUGCUUUGAGGAAUAAGCAACUGUCAAUGUUUUCUGAGUUUAAAGACGUCCCAUGCUAGAUUGCUGGCUCCAGCAUGAAUAACCCCGAUGUCUUCUGCCCUCUUGGAUCCAAGAAAUGAUAGUGGGGUCAACUUGGAAGCUAGAGAGUCAUAGAGCUAAAAAUUUCCUGAAUCAAUCAUGGAAUCUUAGGAUUGGAGUCGGAGCAGUGAACUGGACCAUUUAUCUAGUCUCAUCUUCCCCUCAAUGCAAGAAUCUUUGAUGAGAAAACUGAGGCCCAAAGAAGUUAAAUGAUUUGCCUGUGGUCACACAAUCAAGAAGUGGCAGAGUGGGAAACCCUGAAGCCAGAUCUUCCUACUGCAGGAUUAAUGAUCAUUUGACUUUUAUCAGGUACUAUCUUUUCCUCUGUGAUUUAAAUAAAGUUAUCAGGAGGUGGCUAGAUAGCA
rnacentral:lncRNA from 1 species